UGCAUGUCGUUUGUGUGUGCGCCUUUCUGGUUUCAAGACAGUUGAGAAAAGGCACUUAUCUACAGUGAUUGACACGCUUUAAAUGGGUGGGUCGUCCCUGGUGUCGGACAGUCGGAGUAGUUUUUGGUUUUAUUAUCAUUUUAGUAGGCAAUCAAUUCGGACUACCAAGUAGGCCCCGGGGUGUAAUUCAAACAAGUGUUGGGACAUCUAUUUGAGCCUGGCUGCUAUAACCAGGAUUACAAACUUGGAACGUUUACAGUAUGAAGAUGGUAGGAAUCCUGAUGCAGUAGAUGUGACUAAGGGUCUGGGAACUUGGAAGCUUUGCGAUUGGACCUGGACCAGGAAGGCCUUUUGGGGGUUGCAAAUCUGCCCCCCACCCCCCACCCUUCUAAUCUACCAUAGGGUGGGAGGAAAAGGCCUCUUGCUCAGCCCUGUCAGGAAUGGGACAGAUUACAUUUAUACUCUGGAUUGGGUAGUCACCCCCCCCCACCCCACCCUUUUUUAAAAAAAUAUAAAACUUAUCGUAACCAGUCUGUGUGGCAUGUCUGUGCUGUGGAAAUAUUUUUGAGCAACCAAAAUGGUAUGCCAGUUGGGAUCAGCUGCUAAAUUUAUAUGCUGAGACUGUUUUAAUGAGAAGCACCUUUUUGGAAUGUGAGAAUUACAAUGGUAAAUAUAGCCCUAGUAAGUCUGGUUAAUCUGUU